rnacentral:rRNA from 1 species
UGGGGAAUUUUCCGCAAUGGGCGAAAGCCUGACGGAGCAAUGCCGCGUGGAGGUGGAAGGCCUACGGGUCGUCAACUUCUUUUCUCGGAGAAGAAACAAUGAUGGUAUCUGAGGAAUAAGCAUCGGCUAACUCUGUGCCAG